rnacentral:tRNA from 1 species
ACCAGUGUAGCACAACGGUAGUGUAGCGGUCUCCAAAACCGUUUGUGGGAGUUCGAUUCUCUCCACUGGUG